rnacentral:lncRNA from 1 species
ACUCAUAAGUUAUUUUUGAUGAUAGAGCUUCCGAAUCGAUAAUCCAUACUGUUAAAUAUUACUAGAGCAUUUAAAACUUCUAGAAAUCGAAUUUUAUAAUUUUUCGAUAUCAUUUACCUUACGAUCAAAAGCUCACAAAAUUGAUAAUUUUUAAUGGCCGGUAUGAGAUAUUUGCUAGUUUAACAGUGUAAAAGAAUCGGAAUAGGUUGAAUUUUUGAUAGAAAAUUCUAUUCACCACCUAAAUAAAGAUCAAUAACUCCGAUCUUCAACUGAAGGAUUCGAUCAUCCAUUUUUAGGAUGUCGUUCGAUUUUGACCGUUCAUUUUAUACCCACUUAAUGGACUUUAUAAUAAUUUCAAAAAAUUACGAAAUUUAUUUUAUAGAAGUUUCAAAUACUCUAGAUCAUGUUUAACGGCGUGGAUCGUCGAUUCGAAAACCCCAACAUCGAAAACAACUUAUGAGUAAAAAGGGCUCUAUACUCAUAAGAGUAUAGUAGCCCUACUCUCUCUCUCUCUCUCUCUCUCUCUCUCUCUCUCUCUCUAUAUAUAUAUAUAUAUAGCAGGGCUGCUGUGCUCUGGGAGCACGGAGGCUUCCGUGCUCCUGAGCCGUUUUCGAUGAUGGAAUUUUCGAAUCGACGAUCGACUCCGUUAGACUU